UAUUGAUGCACAUUUUGUGAAACCAACCGUCGCAACCAUUCGCGUCACAUCCGAUAAACUAAAAUCCAUUUUUCUCCCAACCUGUCCUGCGACAAGUACAAUACAAUAAUUCUGCUUCGACAGUCUCGUGAGUCCUUGUUGCACGACUUGGAACUGAUGGGAAUGGAGUUAGUUUGCCGGAAUCCAUACACUGAACAAGGUGAUUGGAGGAGACUGGACAUACAACUUAGGACAUGCUCGUUUCUCCAUGGAUGGCCGGGACUGCUGUCAUACACCAGUACAUGUUCACGUUGAAUAAACCCUUUGGCAACUAAUACCCAGUGAUCCGAUCCGUCAUGAACGAUCUGCAACCAUUGAUCGCCCUUCGCUCGGGGGAAUUCAAGGCUGCCUCCAAUUGUACAGCAGAGCAGACCACCUAUUUCUGGAUGUUGCUUUUUCAGGAUUGCCUGCGCCUUGUUGAUGUCGCCUGACAUGAGUUUGUUCGUCUUUGUUAAUACUUGCGGCUUGUCCAAGAAAAGAUAGGGUUGUUUACUCCUGUCCCGUCUAUUUCGGAGGCAACCAUCAGUCGAAGACACAAGCUAUUAAAGGAAGUGAAACUUCGCUGGGUGUAGUUGUGAUCAAUGUGUAGUUCUGAUCAAUGAUGGACACGUCCACUUCAUCGACUGGUGGAACAUCAGCGGCUGUGGUGAUGCGAACGUCUAUUUUGUUUACAGGUGAAACUACGCUGGGUGUAGGUAAUUCCUGAAGUUGUGAUGACGAAUCUUGAUUAUAAUAAUCCUUCAUGUGUUUUUCUUCCUCAGCCAAAAUUAGCGCUUCCUCCAUCUCUCUGCUCAUAAUUCCACCCAUCUAAACAAAAGCUUCACGUUCUUCUCAUUGCGUACACGCUUGGUCG
rnacentral:lncRNA from 1 species